rnacentral:rRNA from 1 species
CCAUAAUCUCUAUGGAGAAAAGCAGGGGAUCGCAAGACCUUGCGCUUUUGGAGCGGCCGAUGUCUGAUUAGCUAGUUGGUGAGGUAAAGGCUUACCAAGGCUUCGAUCAGUAGCUGGUCCGAGAGGACGACCAGCCACACUGGGACUGAGACACGGCCCAGACUCCUACGGGAGGCAGCAGUGGGGAAUUUUGGACAAUGGGGGAAACCCUGAUCCAGCCAUGCCGCGUGAGUGAAGAAGGCCUUCGGGUUGUAAAGCUCUUUCAGCCGGAACGAAAAGGUUACGGUUAAUACCUGUGACUAAUGACGGUACCGGAAGAAGAAG